UACAGAGGUCUCAAGCGUUGUUCGGAUUCAUUGGGCGUAAAGGGCGCGUAGGCGGCGGGGUAAGUCGGGUGUGAAAUCUCAGAGCUCAACUCUGAAACUGCACUCGAUACUGCUCUGCUUGAGGACUGGAGAGGAGACUGGAAUUCACGGUGUAGCAGUGAAAUGCGUAGAUAUCGUGAGGAAGACCAGUGGCGAAGGCGGGUCUCUGGACAGUUCCUGACGCUGAGGCGCGAAAGCGUGGGUAGCGAACAGG
rnacentral:rRNA from 1 species